GUCCCUUCGAGGCAUCUGAUAAACUUGGAACAAUACCAGGAGAUUAUCAAGGCUCUUCGCAAGGAUGACAAGCAGAAAUUGGGAAAUGGUUGAAAUUUUU